GAUUAUCCCUUUUCAUAAAAAAGGAGGAGAUACAGAGAAAAAUAGAAGACAAAUCCGUAAAAACCAUCCAGCAGCAAUCUAAAACAAGAUCAUCCAACAACAAGUCUAAAAACAAUACUGAAAUUCAGAAACAAGUGAGGACAAGAAAGUAUAUGGGAGGAGCCUAGAGGAGUCAAUGAACACAAAAGAGAAGGGUGCAGAUACAAGAGUGACUCUAAAACAAGUUAGUAAUCAUGUGCACCUUCAUCAUCCUUUUCCUUUUAGUCUUUUAGCAUUGUAUAUAUCACAAACACAUCUACUGUCCAUGAUAACAGUGAGUUUUUUUUUACUUUUUUGGCUUUGUUUUGUUCUCAAAAGGAAACAAGUCUUCAAUAGUUUUUUUACCCCAGUCUUUAAUCAAUGUUUAUUUUUCCUUAUUUGCAACUAACGGGUAUAGAAAUUUUGCAUCAAAAAAUACAUAUCUAAAAAAACAACACAUAAAGUAAUAAGAAAAGCAAAAAAAUGCACUUAGGUAGCAAUAAAAAUCAAAACCCCAACUUCUAUACACUCUUAUUAGAUAUCAUAUACCCAACACUUUCCCCAUAAAAUCCACACCUCAGAAACCCAUUUCCAUCACCAAAUUACCCAGAUAACACACAAAAGAAAAAUCCACAAAAACACAAAACAAUCCUCAACCACAAAAUACAUUCAUCAACCAUUUUCUUUACCUAAAAUCAUCUUCCAUACAAUCAAUCCAAAAGUAUACAUGUAUAGAAAAGACACAGUACAUACAAGUUGAAAACGAGAAAAAAGGCAUCUAGAGGAGAUGAAAUGGGAUAAUGUAGAAAGUGAAAGCCAUGAGCAAAACCAAUCUCAAAUCUUCCAAUAUCAAUGCGUGGAGGAUGGUUAGGCGGAGAGACUAUACAAGGUGUUCAUUCCUAACUUGACUUGUGCAUAUGAAAUUAUGAACCAUAUAUGUGAUAUACUAAGGUGCUGUGUUUCUUAUUUUUUAUUUUAAAAGAAUAUAUAUAUAAAUAUAUAGAUUUUGGGAAAACGGAUUAAAAAUACAUUGUAUCCUAUGUUGUCAUACUAAUUUAUACAAUCUUAAAAAAGGAUUAAUGCAAGUGUCCAUGAAUAUGGAAUUUUAUUCAAUAUUCUCUAUAAAGCGCAAAUUAAUUUUUUUUAAGUAAAAAAUUAUUAAUUUUGGAAUCCAAUAACAAAAUUACAACUCAUAUUGUCUUUCUCCUCGCGUCGAGCUAAGAAUCGGUCGCAAUUACAGAUAUUGUUUCUGAUAUUUAUCGAAGUGAGAAUAUAGGAUAAGCAAUCCAUGUUGACAUGUCGUCAAUUUGUUCCACUUCAAUUAAGUUCAAACAAAAUUUUAAUUUCAACCAAUUCAUCAAUUUUCAAACUAGAACUAUAUAGUCUUGAUUCUCUAUUGCUCAUAGAGAUACGUAUGAGCAAGAUCUCAUAUUGUCAGACAUAAUAAAAAUAAAAAUACUUUGUUUUAUUAAUUAUUAUUUUUAAAUUAAGGGUAUGAUAAAGUCUAUGCAAUUAGUAAGGGUAUCAUCUUAGUAUGAGUGAACAAUGUGUUAAUACCUUUCCUGAUUUAUAAUUGACUCCCGAGUCCAAACCUCUAAGUAAAAAGACCAUUUUAUCCAAUUGGGCUCAAUUUGAAUUUUCCACGUUUUAACUACAAAAGACAUGGUGGUAAAUACGAUCAAUGUCACGUCCUAAUUUUCAGCUAUGUGACCUUUCGAAGUUAACAUUAUGUUUUUUACGGUUAAAACAUAGAAAACUCUUUUAAGCUUAAUUUAUGAUGAAAUGGUCUUUCACGCCAUAUUCUACUUAGAGAUGAACUUUUUAAUAAUUACCCUUUCAUCUUUUUAUUAGAUGAGGCAACAACACUCGUGUUCGCACCACACUCAUAUUAAAGAGAUAAUUUAUUUAUUAAUUAAUUUUUGUUUAUCUACUUUUAAUAUAAUGAGGCAGCAACUCUCAUGUCCACACCUCACACAUUUUUAAGAGAUAAGUUUUUAUUGAUUAUCGGUUCACUUUGAGACAAUGUGUCUACUUCAUUAUUGAAUAAUUUUUUUUAAUUAUUAUUUAUUAAUAUAUGCUAUUAUCACAUUAUUAUUUAUCAUCCAAAAUUAUUUAAUAUUUCUAAUUAGCGUUAUAAAAAAAUUGUUUAUAAAAUAAUUUUUACUAUUAUUAUUCGAAAAAAUAAAUGAAUAGAAAAACACAAUUAUAUACCUCAAUUUGGGAUAAUAUGGGAUAAUGUGGUAAUCUAGAAUUGAAGGGGUGAUCGUGUGUUUAGAGAGAGAAGAUUUAAGUUGAUGUGUCGCAAGCGGAGUGGAGAUUUCGUGGAGGCUAACAAUUGGAUGAGGGAAGGGUGCACGACGCCUAACCAUACACUUGACCGCACAAAUUUCACCCUAAAAGAGAGACAAGAUUCCAUGUGGAGAGACACAGCCGAACUGACUAAUGUGUCACAAUCUUAUUGGUUAAAGCGACAGUCAACACAGUGGCUGAGAAAAAUAUCACACAUUGACGAUGAGAAUGGGUGGAGGUAGUGGUGCAGCAUUUAGCAUGCACCAGACUGCAUGGGAUAAUUUCAGUAUGUCACAUUUUCCUACGCUUGUGACACGCUUUUUUACACAGGUUUUUCUAGAUUAUUCUUAUUUUUACAAUAGGAUAUUCUUAUGAAGAAAUAUAUAUGUUCCUUAAACUUUAGAUUAUCAUAGUAAUAAAUAAGUUAUUUAUUAUAUUUUGAUAUCGGACACCUAAUGUCUUGUGAUGUUAGUUGAAUGAUUAUUGAGUAUAAUUAAAUGCUUGUAGGAUUAAUGAUUAAUCAAGAGAGAAUCCAUCAACUCAUGUUAAUGAGUUUGAGCUCUAUAGAAAUAAAGAGCUUGGCCAAGGGAAAUUGAAUGAAUGAAGAAAUGAGUUUCUUAAGUCAUUCAGUAUGAGUUAACUUAUUAGAAUUUGACAAUUAUACCAUAUUCUAGAGUUAACAUAGAGUUGUAAAGAUGGAAAGAAACAUUAUAGUAAUCUUCUAAUGGUUCUAAAGUAAAAGAUAUUACUUCAUUUCUAACCAGUCGUUAAGGAGUGUUGCUAGAUGCCAACCUUAAUUAGUAAAUUAAUGAGUUAACUUACUACCGGUUUAGUAAUGAACCUACGGGGUCACACACUAACGAGUGUUCUGAUUUUGUUGGACGAGAAAAUAUUAUUGUUUAAAUUAAACAAUUUAAUUUAUAUAUUUUCUUUUAAGCGGAAUAUUAUUGUAUUUUUUGCUAGCACCAAAAAUAAAAUAAUAUCAUUUAGUCAUCUAUAAUAUAUAAUUUAGUGAGACUUAAUUUAUAUAUUUCAAUGAGUUGUUUAAAUUAGUAAAACAAAUAAGAUUAGUUGUUUUUUAAACAUUUAAAAACAAAAACCCAAGUGUAGUGGGGUUGGUUGCGGAAAGAAAGCAACCAAAAGGUUGAAGUGAUUUUGUUUUUAUCUAUAACUAGUGUGUACAGACACUUCGUGUCUGCAGACGAAUAUUAUGUGAUACUACAUAUUCAAUUUUUAUAUAUUUCAUUUUUUUGAAUUAGAAUGUAUUUGUUGUAUUCAGUGUACUUUAUAUUAUAUUUUUUGUGUUUAUGAUAAUGUUUAAUUUAAGGUGAGAUAUGUGGUUAAUUAAUGUAUUGGUGGUGGUUGCUUAGGAUUAUAUAGUUUUUUUGUAAAAAUCAAAUAAUGUGAAGGGAAAAAUAGGAAAUGAAAAUUACACCAUGAGGGAAGUUAUUUCAAGUUUUAACUUUAUAUAUAGUAUAGAUAACAAAAGGAAAAAGCCAAGGCAUUAUGAAUGAACGCACUGCAUAAACAAAAGAAGACUUUGGUUCUCUUCUUUGGUUCUUUGGUUCUUUGGUUUUGAAACAUUGAAAUAUAAUUUAGGUUAAUUUCUCGGUUCCACGGAUCAAGUGUUGAUACAACAAGGACCAAUCUCGAUGCAGAUACACAUGUAGGACCUUCAUACGUUUGAAGGAGAAAAUUUUAUGAAGUCAUCACAGUCUCCUCAG
rnacentral:lncRNA from 1 species